UCAGAGGAUGAAAAUCAGCAGGUGAGGAGAGUCUCAAUGGCGAGUCACGGUGGCAAGAUCUAUUCUCUUUCUAUCACUCGAAUCCCUGCAUGAGCAGAAUGGUGCCAGAUGGACCACCUGCUCCCACCACAAUCCUCUGUGACUUUUUGACUCUAUCCACUUUUAGAACUUAAAAUAGUAAUCAAUGAUCAACUGACCAACUCAGCUCAAAUCAAACCCAAAACUCUGCCUAGAGAACUCUCACUUCCACGUUUACAUAUCUCUUUGUAUCUUGUGAGGACCGUGAGGAGAGCAGAGCCUAGACCUAGUCGGGUCAGGUGACUAUGUCCCUUGCUCACUCUCCUCACAUGGAUGGUGAGAGCUGGGGAGCUAUGGGAUGUUUCAUCCGCCACCAAAUCCCCCUCACCAAUCUUUAUUUUCCACCAUCUCCACCUCUCCCUUAAACCCCCCUCUCCCUCUUCCCUCUCUCUCUCUCUCUCUCUCUCUCUCACACCCCCCCCCUCUCUCUCUCUCUCUCCCUCAUCUCUCUCCCUCAUCUCUCCCCCUCUCUCUAACACCCCCCCUCUUUCUUAUUCCCUCCCCUGCCCCUUUAUUUUCACCUUCACAGAGGACAAAUAGGUGAUCUUCAGCCUCGGCCUACCCCAGCCGGGGGUAACCCCUGUUGGGUCACCUAUAUUGAGGAUUAAGAGAGACCUGAAGGGGAACCGCCGUGCCACCUAAAUCCUCCCCCUCUAACAUCUUUUUUAACACUCUAAAAUUAGCCAGCUAACCCCACUACAAACAACUUCAUCAAAAAUUUGAAUAAUAAAUACUUAUUGAUAACUGACCAUCAGUGACACCAGACUAAGCUAGUAAAAAAGAACACACAUACACGUGCAGAUUUUCCCUUAGGACAUUGAUCAAAUUUACAUUUCUGUCUGUCUUUUAGGGAACUGUUCUCUGUUUUUAAGCUCACUUCUGUUUUUUGCUAUUUGCUCUUGACACUUCUUUUUUUCCUUUUUUCUUCUCCUUUCCCUUUUGCAAUCCACUUUUGUUCUUCUUUUAUUUUUUAUUUUUUCAUUGUUUUAUAUUAUUUUGUUUUAUUUUAUUUCAUUUUAGGGUUCCUGUGCUUUUGUUUGUCUUCCCCCCUCCCCUCUUUUUUCUUAGGAAGGACUGACUCCUGAGGUUCUCAUGCCAGGAAAAAUGUACCUCCCUCACUCACGGUUUUACCCACAAUCCUUUGCUGCAACAGGGAGAUUGAUUCCCAAGGCUCUCAUGGCAGAAAGGAAGUACCUCACUCACUCACGGUUUUACCCACAAUCCUUUGCUGUAACAGGAAGAUUGAUUCCUUAGGCUCUCAUCCCUCAGAACUAAAAUACCCACAAUCCCUUACGAUUGCAUACAAAUUUAAUGUAGCAAAACUAAAUUUAAAACAAAUAAACUACAUUAAAAUUAACUUAAAACAACUUGAAAGUUUAAAAUACAACCAAGAGACAUCCAUUCUGGAAUACAAACAUCGAGAAGAGAACACAACCAUGUCUGAGAGGAACAGCACAAACCAUGACUCGAGCCCAACUCUGGGGAUGUCGUCUCCUGUCAAAAGCACAUUUAAGUGCUGUGCACUAAAGAGCAAUUCCUGUUGCUGUAAUUGAGACAAAGCACUGACCACUGUACCAAGAAGACCGACCACCGCCUUGAGGAAGACGCCGCGCCGCCACCUGAAAGAAGACGCCGCACCUCCAUCACUCCAAGCCGCCCACCACCGAGCUUUGACCCGCCGACGGCACCGAGUCUCGGCAAACCUUGCCGCGGAGGACCCCGGACUUCAGACACACCGCUGCCGCCGCGGCUGGACAGCUGGAACCUUUUCCCCCUCCAACAGAUUUUAGACUACUGGAAAAGAAACGCCUCACAUCAACAACAACAUAGGACCACUAGUGUAAGUCUACAAAAAACCUCUCAAACACCUCAAAAUUACUCUAAAUAGUUAGUUUUGUUUUUGUACUUGAGUUUGUGUCAUGUUUGAAGUUUGUGACAACUU